GCCGUCGUAGGGCAGGUACGCGCCGCGGCGGAAGUUCGCGCCGGAGACCGCGUCGGUCGACGUCACGAGGUUCCACGCCGCGCGGCCGCCC
rnacentral:tRNA from 1 species